rnacentral:rRNA from 1 species
UACGGAGGAUGCAAGUGUUAUCCGGAAUCACUGGGCGUAAAGCGUCUGUAGGUCGUUUAAAAAGUCUACUGUUAAAAAUUGAAGCUUAACUUCAAAGGUGCCGUAGAAACUUUUAAACUUGAGUAUGGUAGGGGUAGAGGGAAUUUCCAGUGGAGCGGUGAAAUGGGUAGAUAUUGGAAAGACCGCCAAUGGCGAAGGCACUCUACUGGGCCAUUACUGACACUGAGAGACGAAAGCUAGGGGAGCAAAUGGG